rnacentral:misc_RNA from 1 species
GAUGAAGAACGUAGCGAAAUGCGAUAAGUAAUGUGAAUUGCAGAAUUCAGUGAAUCAUCGAAUCUUUGAACGCACAUUGCGCCCGCCAGUAUUCUGGCGGGCAUGCCUGUUCGAGCGUCAUUACAACCCUCAGGCCCCCGGGCCUGGCGUUGGGGAUCGGCGGAGCCCCCCGUGGGCACACGCCGUCCCCCAAAUGCAGUGGCGGUCCCGCCGCAGCUUCCAUCGCGUAGUAGCUAACACCUCGCGACUGGAGAGCGGCGCGGCCACGCCGUAAAACACCCAACUCUUCUGGAGUUGACCUCGAAUCAGGUAGGAAUACCCGCUGAACUUAAGCAUAUCAAUAAGCGGAGGA